CCAGCCCUGGUGAGUGGAGUAUGAUUUCGGUGUGGAAAUCUCAACUUCUAUCCAGAGCAUGCUGCGUGUCUCAUUGUCCUUGCUCCAGCGUUGCCAAGAGGCUCAUUUGGAAGAAACUUUAAGAUCUUGGCAUCCUUCUUCGUUUAUAUUUUUCCCCGAAGAUUUGUGGUUUUCGUACACCUGGGGGCGCUGUGCUUCGCACACGCUACGGGAAUAAUUUGUCUCCAGGUAAAUGCUACUAUAACGACUAACAAACGUUUGUUUUGCAUGUUCCUGCGCAAGCACUCACUUACAAAAUGUCUGCUACAACGAGUUUGUCUCUACUCGAGUUUUUAUGUAUUGUCUGGCCUCUUUCUAUUUGCACCAGCAACACGAGCUUCGUUUUGUUUGUCAUUUCUCCAAUCAAUUUCUCACUAUACGAUCUGCAGAACUAUGAGCGGUUACAUUCAUUGCAUCGGUCGAACUGGUCGAGCUGGGAAUGCUGAGGAAUUUUCAACCUCAAGAGUCUUCGAGCUGGAGAUUAGUUUGGCACUGGCCUGAAGUUUACGCGAGGCGUAACGACUUGACAGAAGCUCGGGCGAAGAACUCUGAAAGAUGGGAACGUAUGUCUUUUUCGCUGCGCAGCUACUUGCGCAGCAAGCUUCAGCCUUUUCAGGUCCUCUGGUAGCGGGACAAGUGACGAAAUCUCCCAAUGCUCGGAUUUAUACAAGAAGUAAAGUCGAUUGGC